GUGAGGAAUAUUGCACAAUGGGCGAAAGCCUGAUGCAGCAACGCCGCGUGAGUGAUGAAGGCCUUUGGGUCGUAAAACUCUGUCCUUGGGGAAGAAAAAAAUGACGGUACCCUUGGAGGAAGCCCCGGCUAACUACGUGCCAGCAGCCGCGGUAAUACGUAGGGGGCGAGCGUUAUCCGGAAUUAUUGGGCGUAAAGAGUGCGUAGGUGGUUUUGUAAGCGUAGGGUGAAAGGCAGUAGCUCAACUAUUGUUAGCCCUGCGAACUGUGAGACUUGAGUGCAGGAGAGGAAAGUGGAAUUCCUAGUGUAGCGGUGAAAUGCGUAGAUAUUAGGAGGAACACCAGUGGCGAAGGCGACUUUCUGGUCUGUAACUGACACUGAGGCACGAAAGCGUGGGUAGCAAACAGGAUUAAAAACCCCAGUAGUCC
rnacentral:rRNA from 1 species